AAAACACACACACUGCUGGUCAGAUCGAAGAUGAAGAUCAGAUCUGGUCGAUUGGGAUUCGUCUUUGUUGAUCGAAGCUAAAAUCGGAGUUUCUCCCCCCAUCAUCUGGUGAUACAGAACGAAAAGCAAUGAGGCUCACCUUAAUGUAUGGGUGCCGGGGGCUUCCUUUCUGUGUUGAUGUGACCUAUUAUUGUCGAUCUCAACUAUCGUUCCACACCGAUCAAGAAGCCUCUUUCAGUUGGCCAUAGGAACAAACCCUAACCCCUAAAGAAGAAACCCUAGGUCUGGAAUCCUGUAUUAGAGACGCGAAGGUGUGUUCGGCGAUUUGCAGACGACCGCUACUGUUAGGAUUGGGAUUUCUUAGGAGGCCGCUAGCCAUUGUUGUUGCCAGAUUGACAGCUCUUACCAUAGCUUUUCUAAACGAUAGGUAUGAAGACUUGGUUCAUGAUGCCUAGCAUUCCUUGGAUGUCGUGUAGCUUUCAAGUUUCCAUUUCAUGCAAAUGUUAGCAUGAAAUGUCAUUUUGUAGACUUAUAUGUCAAAAUAUGUAUAUUUGAUUCCAUGUAUGUAAUGUGUACAUAAGUGUACUCCUAUCAAUGUAUUUGACAUGUAUGAGAUGAGGCUGGAGGCCAAUGACAUGUGUAUUGUAUUCUAUACAACUUUUUAACUUAAUGAAAUAUUAUGAAAACCUUGAAA